rnacentral:rRNA from 1 species
GCCAGCCCGCUCAAGAACUCAAAGGAAGUUGACGGGGGCCCGCACAAGCGGAGGAGCAUGUGGUUUAAUUCGAUGAUACGCGAGGAACCUUACCUGGGCUCGAACGUAAGAUGACUGUAGGUGAAAGCUUACAUCUCUUCGGAGCAUUUUACGAGGUGCUGCAUGGUUGUCGUCAGCUCGUGCCGUGAGGUGUCGGGUUAAGUCCCAUAACGAGCGCAACCCCUACCUUUAGUUGCCAUCAGGUUAAGCUGGGGACUCUAAAGGAACUGCCUACGCAAGUAGUGAGGAAGGCGGGGAUGACGUCAAAUCAGCACGGCCCUUACGUCCAGGGCUACACACGUGCUACAAUGGCCGAUACAGAGGGCAGCUACCUGGUGACAGGAUGCAAAUCUCCAAAGUCGGUCUCAGUUCGGAUCGGAGUCUGCAACCCGACUCCGUGAAGUUGGAUUCGCUAGUAAUCGCGCAUCAGCCAUGGCGCGGUGAAUACGUUCCCGGACCUU